GCGAUAGCUCAGGUGGUAGUGCAUGAGGCUCUUAAUCUCAGGGUUAUGGCUUCAAAUACCACGUUGAGCA